rnacentral:rRNA from 1 species
UGCGACCCCAGGUCAGGCGGGAUCACCCGCUGA